rnacentral:rRNA from 1 species
UACAGAGGUGUCAAACGUUGUCCGGAAUUAUUGGGCGUAAAGGGCGCGUAGGCGGCCGGGUAAGUGAGAUGUGAAAGCUCUGGGCUCAACCCAGGAAUUGCAUUUCAUACUGCUCGGCUUGAGAUUGGUAGAGGAUGGCGGAAUUCCAGGUGUAGCGGUGAAAUGCGUAGAUAUCUGGAGGAACACCGGUGGCGAAGGCGGCAUCCUGGACCGAUACUGACGCUGAGGAGCGAAAGCCAGGGGAGCAAACGGG